CUAGGACGCCAGGGGGAACAGGGAUCAUUACUUCCAUUUCACAGAUGGAGACACAGAUCUAAAGAGCUGCCAUUCCCAAGGUCACAAUGGAGAAGAAUGGAAUUGGAGACUGGGCAGGCUGGACGUCAUCACUCUGAGAGCUGGGGGAAAACAGGAUGGUCACACCCCCAGUCCAGCCACCAGCGAAAUCGUCUAGGAAAUCCACACUGCCCGCUCGCUGCCCUCCCUCCCAGCCCACCCUCAGGAUCCCAGUACUCCAGGCCCCAGGGUUGGUGCUGGGUUCGCUGCUGCCAAGCCUGACACCUCAUCCUGCGGCCAGUGCGGGAGUCAUCCUUCACCGCUCCCUCUCAAAUCUGGAUUUCAUCCCCAUUGACCACUGCCUUUGGCUCACACCAGAGUUCUGCAGAAAUGUCACCACCAGGAGACCCAAACAGGCCGCAGAGAAAAGAAAACUGUGAAUUCAGGAACUGCUGGGGCCAACGCAAUGGGUAAAAGGGCUGCAGAUGGCAAGUUCAACAAAAGGUCACACAGAGAUCACUGAAUUUUAAUGGAAACCCUUCAGGGGAGAGAUUCAAAGAUUUAAUGUAAACAGACUUUCCUGGUAAAUAAAGUCCCAUAUGUAUCCAUAUUCCCUCCCUUCCCAGUAAAUAAAUGAUUUAAAAAGUCUAAA